rnacentral:rRNA from 1 species
UACGUAGGGUGCAAGCGUUGUCCGGAAUUAUUGGGCGUAAAGAGCUCGUAGGCGGUUUGUCGCGUCUGCUGUGAAAACUCGGGGCUCAACCUCAGGCCUGCAGUCGAUACGGGCGGACUCGAGUUCGGCAGGGGAGACUGGAAUUCCUGGUGUAGCGGUGAAAUGCGCAGAUAUCAGGAGGAACACCGGUGGCGAAGGCGGGUCUCUGGGCCGAUACUGACGCUGAGGAGCGAAAGCGUGGGGAGCGAACAGG